UGGGGCGUGGUCCAACCGGUAGGACACCUCACUGUUAAUGAGGACGGUGGAGGUUCGAAUCCUCCCGCCCCAGCCA
rnacentral:tRNA from 2 species